rnacentral:rRNA from 1 species
UACGAAGGGGGCUAGCGUUGCUCGGAAUUACUGGGCGUAAAGGGCGCGUAGGCGGACAGUUUAGUCAGAGGUGAAAGCCCAGGGCUCAACCCUGGAAUUGCCUUUGAUACUGACUGUCUUGAGUACGGGAGAGGUGAGUGGAACUCCGAGUGUAGAGGUGAAAUUCGUAGAUAUUCGGAAGAACACCAGUGGCGAAGGCGACUCACUGGCCCGUUACUGACGCUGAGGCACGAAAGCGUGGGGAGCAAACAGG